AAGUGACAUAAACUGGCAUGUUCUGAAAGAAUCACUCUGGAUGCUAUGUGGAGAAAACACUGAAAAGAAUUCUAGAGUGAAAGUUUCAUGAAUAUAAGAAGCAAGACAAGGAAGUGGCUUAUGCUUAAGGCCUUAAAGGCAACCACUGUGACAAUCCAGCCAUUCUCUGGAGAAUUCAGCAGAAAGCCAGUUGGAAGGUUUGAAAUGGAAAUUACAAGCGCGAUAUUACAGAAGUGUGGAUUUUAGUUACAAUGUCUCUAUGAGAAAAGUCUAAAAGUUAAACAUAAGCAAAACAACAAAAACAUCUAAAUACCAGGAAUUUGUUAUCUCGAUUAUGGAGGGCGACAAGUCCCACAGUCUGCCAUCUGCAGGAUGGAGAACCAGGGGGAGAAUAAUUGACUCCAUUCAAGUGUUCGCUCCUGUUUCAAUCAACUAUGGCUGAAGAGUGAGGAGACAUUUGGAAUAAAUAUGGCUUCUGGGGGCCCAUUCCUAUGGAUCAGCAGCUGGCUUCUGGAGGCCCAUUCCUGUGAAUCGUCGAUCUCAUAGAAGAUAAUAUUGUUAGAAGGCUUACCUCAUUGAUGCUGAACAUCCUAAAAAGCUUCUGCUGCUUUGAGUCACUGAAAAAGACCAAGAAACAUGAAUUUAAAAAAAAAUUUCAAAUGUUAUAAAAUAAAUAAUAUGAACUCAU
rnacentral:lncRNA from 1 species